UCUGGCUCUUCAGCUCUUUUUGAACUUCAUGUUCUGGAGAAAUGGUAAUAUAUGUGUCUGUCUAUGUUGUUUAGCCCUUACGAAGAGCAAACAAAGGUGGGAGGACCUCAUCACCACCAGAGGUUUCAUCUGAGUUACAUGCAGCUUCCAAGAGUUUGCUGUUGUUAGGAAGUCCAAACCAAGAGGAGGAGACCUCAUCACUAUCAUCACUGUCAGAAGUUUCAUCUGAGAUACCCCUGGAUUUGAGCACCCCUAAAAGCUCACACUCUGAUGCUAAUGAUGACCCAGAUGUACCACCCCUGAGAAGAACUGACAGCAUAUUUCUCACCAAAGAACACCUUGAACAGAUGUCCAAGGUGUCUGAUGGAUCAGAGGCGACUCAGACCUGCGCUACAGAUGUGGUAGUUGGAUCCUCAAGAUCUAAGAGAAGAUGGCGAGCUGAGUCUGACAGCGGUUACCCUAAAACAAGAACCUUAAAGAUGAGGUGGUCGUCUGAAGAGGUACACGCUGUGGAAAAGACACUAAUGGCCUUCAUAGAAGCUGGUAAAAUACCACGAAAGUCGGAGUGUAUUGCCUGCAUUACAGCUUCACCAGAAGCACUUAAAAGACGAACCUGGUUGAUGGUAAAGUGCUAUGUUAAAAAUUGCAUCAUUGCCAAUCUUUAUGAAAGUACAAGAAAAACUAACUGAGAAGACUGCAGUUAUUUCACGUUCUUAAAUGUGUGGAUACAUGUGUUUCUCUUUGCACUUGUUCUCAAUUAUGUUGAUAAGUAUGAUGCUCUUUGCACUUGUUCUUAAUGUGUUGCUCUGUAGAGCAACAAGAACAGUCAGUCAUGGGAUGCUGUUCUUUGUGGUUCUAUCAAUGUUCUUUAUUCAGGCCCCAGAGGAGAACUUUUCUCCUGCUUCCUCUGCUUCUCUGAGCUUUUCUGUGCAGAAUCAGAGACCAGCUGAUGAGUCAGCUCAUUAAUACACUGUACUAUGGAGGGAACAUAUCUCCAGUACAACAGUAGUCCAUCGAUAUAUCAGAUUAUGCUGUUUGGCCAAAUAUGUAUAAUGGAUCUCCGACAGACUUCAUGGUUCUAAAUCACUGCUGGAAUGAGUGAAUCAUUGAUCAUGUGGACCCCUACUGGCAUGGAGAGAAAUACAAAGACAGUUGUUGUGCUCGCUGGUCGUUCUUGUGUUCCAAAGUUUUACUUCUUGUGACGUGAACUUAAAAUGGAAGCAGAGUGAGGCUUGUAGGAUGUAACGGGGCGGAUGUUUGAAGUAAAUUCAAAGGCCAUUUUCAAUAAAUGUUUUGUGAAAAUAAAAGCUUAAUUUGUCUUUGCAUUUUGUACAGUAGGCUUUGUUUUCCUCUGAGCAACAGCAUUUUAGAAACUCAGUCUGGUGUGUUUUGGGAGAAAACAUGAUGCCUGGUAGUUUCGAUCAUCACAUUCAGUAAAAAGUCAUAAUUGUUUAUUUGUUAACCAGGUUUGGUUUUUGUCAUACCUGUUGAAGCUCAGUUGGGAAACUAUUCAAUUUUACAAUUAUUUUAUUUGCAACGUGUUCAAUCAUAUCAAGUAAACGAGCAUCUAUAAAUAAAAUAUAAAAGUAAAGCAACAGCAAGAGAAACAGCAAAAAAAAUCCAUUUGGACUAAUAGAUGUGAAAUAUCUGUCUGUAGUAGAUAUCUAAAACUCAUCAUGCUUAACUUUUGGCUAUUGAAAGAACCUUGUGUGUGGACGGUAGUGUGUUGUGUGAAUGGAUUGUGUGGUGUUCUGGGUAACAGUGUCCUUGUCUGGAAAUAACAUCUUUA